CUGUGUCGCCCUCCUUGGGCGUUUCCUCCCUAGACUUCGGGCUGCGCUUCGGCGUAGCCCUUUUUUCUUUUGGGA
rnacentral:sRNA from 1 species